AUAGAUAGAUAGAUAGAUAGAUAGAUAGAUGAUAGAUAGAUGUGAUAAUGCAUUUAUAAUUAUGAAUAAAGAGUUUUGAGUAGCUGAAUAUGUCAAUUAUUCUGUAAUUGCAUUAGUACAAUGGAAUUAGCAUUGACCAUUUAUUAAAAUGAGAAUAAAACUGAACACCCCUUUUUUCAUUACUGGAUGUUACUGCAAAUAUUAUACAAAUCUGACCCUAAUUCUAGCCAUUUUUAUUCUCUUACUUUCUCAAUACGGCCUCUGUGCUCUUUUCUAUUUGAAAAAGUUGUUUAUCUCAACUUUCUAAUAAUCAAACAUUCUGUGAUUUCCAGAAGGCAUUUUGGAUUUCUUUUCAAGAUGAUAUUGAUAUGGCUACAUUUUUAUUUCUGAGCCUAGUACACGCAGCUGUGAGACUAAUCUCACAAUGAACAGCAUGUUCAUCAAGAGCCUCUCCCUGCAUAUGGCCUUUAACAGCUUCAGUUAAUGAACAACUCUCCACAGGCAAAAGCUUUGGUUUUUCUUGGCCAACUAAAAGGAUCGUGCUCCUGACCUUUUGUCUUUGUGUGUUACAUUGCAAUUCAUACUGAGCAGGGCAUUAAAGCACCAGAAGAAUAAUGCUGCCUCAUACUCAGUAUUGGUUUCUAAUUAUUUCCAAUUUGGCCAAGAGCAAAAAUGACCAUAUGUCCCUCUGACUGUUCUCAGAAGGCCCAUCAGUUUACAGUGUUGUUUUUAGUUUGCCUAAGUCUACACAUUGUACUGUUCACUGUCCUUUUCAUAAUGCUCCAUUCCAAUCCACUCCCCCACACAUACUGGUAAAGCACAAGAUCAAUAUAAAUAGCACCUUAGAUAAAAAUAUGUUUCUGUUGGCUUAUUUACCAACAUUUCCUCCACCUUUAUUUUCAAGCCUAUGUUGUCUGACAGAUGAGAUCAUCCCAAUACAGAGUAAAUAUAUUGUUAAUUUUGCAGUCUGAAAGGAAAAUAAAUGUCAUUUAAAAAUAAACUAUGGAAAAUGCAUGCUGCAAGGGAAAUGGCUGUUUGCUGCCACCAAGUUAUAUUAUUUAUUUCUUUGCUGCCACCUUUUUUUUUCGUGUCAGGAGCAACCGGAGUUGCUUCUGGAGUGAGAGAAUUGGCCGUCUGCAAGGACAUUGCCCAGGGGAUGCCCGGAUGUUUUUUUGAUGUUUUACCAAACUUGUGGGCGGCUUCUCUCAUGUCCCCGCAUGGAGCUGGAGCUGACAGAGGGAGCUCAUCCGCGCUCUCCCCAGGUGGGAUUCGAACCUGGCAGCUUUCAGGUCAGCAACCCAACCUUCAAGUCAUGAGGCUUUUAUCCCCUAGGCCACCGGAGGCUCCUUUUGCUACCACCAAUUAAUAAUUAUGUAUUUUUGCUGCGACCAUUUAUAAUUUGUAUGUGCCACCGCUCUCCUCUGCCAGCACACAGAGAGACCCAAAGAUGGAGGGAAACUCUGUCUUAUAGAGCAAUGGUUGAAUAAGCAGACUGGCCACCUCUUUAUAAUGUUUAUCAGGAAGACAUGCAAACACUUGGAGUGAAGUAAAACAGAAUUAUGAUGUUUAUUUGUACUUGAACAGAAAUGUUGUGUAUUGGUUUUAAUAAAAUUACAGGCUUUGCUUUAACAGUGAAUGGUUCUUAAACUGGAGUUUCUUGAAAAAUAUUGUUCCCUCACAAAGGAAUAUUAACAGACUUUUCAAACAUUAGAGACCUCUUACCAGAGGCUCCAAACUCAAACAUUCUAUCUCUUUAGAGGCUCAUUACAGUUCUUAACACUUCUCCCUGAAGGCGAAUCACUUUUUCCUCAAAGAGUUUUCUCUCAAAUAGUUCCCAAAACCUUCCUUUCUUCCUUCUUAAAAUUCUCUUCCUGUCUCUAUAAACUCUAAACCCUGUCUAACAAUUCUUUGGCUGCAUAGCUCUGUCUCUUUGGCUCCGCCCAUCCCCCUCCAAUUUUACCAACCAAUAAGGCUGCACUUCCCCACUUGAAACUUCCUGAUGACUCCUCCCUCUUCUUGGUUUAGCUUUUCCAAGAGAGGCCUUGAACUUCCUCUGCACACCAACCCUGCAAGAUCUCCAUUACCAGAUGAACUGCAAGCAAGAGUAGUAAAGAAAUGUGCAGACGUAAUUUCAGAUCUACUGUCAAUAAUCUGAACAAAUUCUUGGAAAAUAGGACAAAAAUGUUGUUCCCAUCAUCAAAAGGAGAAGGGGAAAAGUCAUCUUGAUGUCAAUAGAAAGAAAGUUUCCAAAAGAAACAGUCAGUUUAAAGACUCUUGGGGUGAACUGCAGUGAUUACUAAACUCUGGCAUGAGUUUACCAGAAACAAGUCAUGCCACAUUUCUCUGGUUUCUUUUUUGAUAGAGCUACAAGAUUGGUAAAUUAGGAGAAAAUGUUGCUGUUGUCAUAUAACCUAAUUUCAGUAAGGAUUUAAUGACCUCCCUGUCCUCAACCCAAUGACAUUCUUGCAGACAAGCUCGGGAAAGACUAAUGCAGAGGUGGUCCAACCAUAAGAUGAACUAGGCACUUGCCUGUGGCGCCAUCGACCCGGGGGCACCAUCGUCCUGGGAGGAUGGCACCACCCCCGCCUCCUUCUUCUUCAGGCCUUCAGGCGGCCUCCCGGCAGCUGUGCUGGGCCUCCUGGCGGCUGCGCUGGGCCUUCCAGCCGGCACGGACCCACCUUCGUCCCACGCAGGCCCACCUUUGGGGCCUUCAGAGAUUGUGAGAUCUGUGGGAACUUGGAAGCUAGGUAAGUGGGGUUUAUAUAUCUGUAGAAGGUCCAGGGUGGGAGAAAGAACUCUUCUUUGAAGCAGGUGUCAAUGUUGUAAUUAAUCACCUUGAUUAACAUUUAAUGGCCCUGUGGCUUCAAGGCCUGGCCUCUUCUUGCCUGGGGCCUAACACCUUUUUUUGGGAGGUGUUAGCUGUCCCUGAUAGUUUACUGUCUGGAUUUCUCCUGUUUUCAGAGUGUUGUUCUUUAUUUAUUCUCCUGAUUUUAGAGUGUUUUUUUAAUACUGGGGGCUAUCUGGGUUAUCUAAGUCUACACUGCCCUAUAUCCCUGUUCAAUGUUUGGUGCUAAAUUUGCAAAUAUAGUAAUUCCUACAUAAUAUUACCAUGUAUUGAACUGCUUUUUCUGUUGAUUUGUUGUAAAACAUGAUGUUUUGGAGCUUAAUUUGUAAAAUUGUAAUGUAA